rnacentral:rRNA from 1 species
AGAGUUUGAUCCUGGCUCAGAACGAACGCUGGCGGCGUGGAUAAGACAUGCAAGUCGAACGGGACAAUAUUUGUAGCAAUACAGAUGUUGUUUAGUGGCGAACGGGUGCGUAACACGUGGGGAAUCUGCCGAGAAGUGGGGGAUAGCUCGCCGAAAGGCGAAUUAAUACCGCAUACGAUCAGGGAAGACAUCUUUCCGACAUCAAAGCCGGGGCAACCUGGCGCUUCCUGAUGACCCCGCGGCCUAUCAGCUAGUUGGUGAGGUAACGGCCCACCAAGGCAAUGACGGGUAGCUGGUCUGAGAGGACGACCAGUCACACUGGAACUGAGACACGGUCCAGACACCUACGGGUGGCAGCAGUCGAGAAUUUUUCUCAAUGGGGGCAACCCUGAAGGAGCGACGCCGCGUGGAGGAUGAAGGCUUUCGGGUUGUAAACUCCUGUCAUUUGAGAACAAGGUGCACCGGUUAACUGCCGGUGCAUUGAUAGUAUCAGAAGAGGAAGGGACGGCUAACUCUGUGCCAGCAGCCGCGGUAAUACAGAGGUCCCAAGCGUUGUUCGGAUUCAUUGGGCGUAAAGGGUGCGUAGGUGGCGUCGUAAGUCGGGUGUGAAAUCUCGGGGCUUAACUCCGAAACUGCAUUCGAUACUGCGGUGCUUGAGGACUGGAGAGGAGACUGGAAUUUACGGUGUAGCAGUGAAAUGCGUAGAGAUCGUAAGGAAGACCAGUGGCGAAGGCGGGUCUCUGGAAAGUUCCUGACACUGAGGCACGAAGGCCAGGGGAGCAAACGGGAUUAGAUACCCCUGUAGUCC